CUUGCCUCAGGAAGCCGAGCUCGUCUGACUUCCCAUCAUGGCCCGGGCCCCCCUGCUCCUCGCCCUGCUCACUUACUGCUCAGGGGUCAGGUCACAGCCUGUGGUGACUCAGGAGCCCUCCAUGUCGGUGACCCCAGGAGGGGCCGUCACGCUGUCCUGCAGCCUGAGCACUGGAGCCAUCACCAGCGGCAACUAUCCUGGCUGGUUCCAGCAGAAACCUGGAUCAGCUCCUCGGUUGCUUAUAUACAGCACCAAUAACAGACCCUCCGGGAUCCCUGCCCGUUUCUCUGGAGCCAUAUCCAGUAAUGAUGCUGCCCUGACCAUCACCGGUGUGCAGGCAGAGGACGAGGCUGACUAUUACUGUAUUAUAUGGACUGGUAGUGCUCUGCACAGUGAUCCAGUCAGAGGGGGAAAGGAGCACCUCAAGGGCCAGGUCAAGGCCACAGUAAAGUUCAUGGCAAUGGCAGGCAAGAAAGAUGUAGCAAAUGUAUCUAAAGUCCUUCUAGAAGCAUAUGGAGACAAGGUACCUAUUGAUUAA